rnacentral:rRNA from 1 species
UACGGAGGAUGCAAGCGUUUAUCCGGAAUGAUUGGGCGUAAAGCGUCCGCAGGUGGCAAUGUAAGUCUGCUGUUAAAGAGUCUAGCUCAACUAGAUAAAAGCAGUGGAAACUACAUAGCUAGAGUACGUUCGGGGCAGAGGGAAUUCCUGGUGUAGCGGUGAAAUGCGUAGAGAUCAGGAAGAACACCAGUGGCGAAGGCGCUCUGCUAGGCCGUAACUGACACUGAGGGACGAAAGCUAGGGGAGCGAAUGGG